UGAGUAACACGUAUCCAACCUGCCGUCUACACUUGGACAGCCUUCUGAAAGGAAGAUUAAUACAAGAUGGCAUCAUGAGUCCGCAUGUUCACAUGAUUAAAGGUAUUCCGGUAGACGAUGGGGAUGCGUUCCAUUAGAUAGUAGGCGGGGUAACGGCCCACCUAGUCUUCGAUGGAUAGGGGUUCUGAGAGGAAGGUCCCCCACAUUGGAACUGAGACACGGUCCAA
rnacentral:rRNA from 1 species